CAUGAUCACCAGGAUUUUAAAGCCAGCCUCAGCUACAUAGUAAGAGGCUAGACUAGGUUUCAUGAGGGAAAAAAAAAUCAAAAUAGACAAAUAAAAAGAAAUAAAGGGAGGAAGGAAGGAAAAAAAUCCAGUAUUCACGUGGACGAAAGCAACACGUUAGGGGGCCAGAGAGAGGGCUGAGUAGUACAGGGUUCGCUACUCCAACAAGAGGGUCCAAAUCUGGAGCCCAGGCAAGCUCACCAAAAGCCGAGUGCAAUGGUGCAGGUUGCCACCCUGGCACACUGGUCCGAAGCAGAUGGACCCUGGGCCUUGCUGGCCAACUAGUCAGGCUGAACGGUGAGCUCCAGGCCAGUGGAAAACCUGUCUCAAAACCAAAGCUGAAAUCAUGAGAAGAAUACACACCACAUUGACCUCUGGCCUCCAUGUGGACAUGCGUGAGUGAGCAUGCCUGCCUGCACAGCCAACCCUCCCCCCUUCCCAACCCACAUGCAAAUGAAACAAAAAAAUAAAAGCUAUAUUUAAUUUUUUUUUUUUACUUAAAACACACCACUAAAACAGAGAAGAGGCUAGCGAUGACGUGGAGGGAGGGUAAGGGGCACAAAAACCCAAGAUUUUUGCAAUGAUUCUCUUACACUGGAGUCUCUCCUCUUGGAGCUUUUAUCCAUAGGUUAUUACAUAUGCAAAGGAACAGAGAUUGAAAACUUUUAAAUGGCAAGGUAGAAUACUCCCCACAGAAGUGAAAAGACGAUCCUGGUGAGCUGGGACCAUAAAUCCAUUUCCUGAACUUACAGGAGCGGGAGAAUACCACCUCCACCCUGGAUAAUCCCAGAGGAAACUCACUGGCAAGAUUAGAAUUGAAUUUUGAUGUGGCUUUUGGAAGGUAUCUUUCUUCCGUACAAGGAACCCCAUGCUCCCCGCAGAGGCACCUGCAGCCAGCUGUCACCAGUGGCCAUAGAUGAAGCUGCAUGGAGCGGACAGUGGCAGAGAAGAGGAAGAAAGUAGAUGUGGUAGGGCACAUAAGAAAUAAAACCAUCUUCCUAGGUCUCUGGAUUAGAGAUGAAAACCACGGCAGAGCUGGAUCCCACAGAGCCUGAGGGUUUUCUCCCUCUGAUGUGUAGUGUGGGAAUCUCAUUGAGAUCCUUCCUAGAGUCUACUCUCACGAAGCAGGGGGCUUCUCAGGCCUGGAUCCCCCCUGAGUGACUGACUUGUUCACCAGAGCCUCCUAUAUUCAUCAAACCCAGCAGAUCUCUUUAUGGUGGCGCUCAAGGGGGAUCCAGAGGCAGCAAGACUCCAGUUUGACCCAGGCUUUCCCAGUCCUCACUCCCACAACUGUACAGGAACCACACCCGUGUUUUUAUUCACGUAUCUUCCUGUCAAUGGUAGUCACCUGAGAUUUUCCUCCAAGGAACUGAAGAAUCACCCUGGCCCAGAUGAUGAAAACACAUUGUAAUCCAAAGGCCCAAAUUCUCACACUUAGAAUGGUCUUUCUUCUACCUGGGGAUGGAUUUUUUGCAAUCUCCCUAAUUACCUGUCUGUCCCAUUUUGCUCUCUUUCACUGCAGUUUCAAGAGUUCUUACAAUCAAAAUCGCCUGAAAGAGCAACCGGUGUUUACAUAAUUAGCAUAAUAACAUUGGUCGGACAAAUGAGCUUCCCACAAACAGAGAAAGAACAGAAGGGGCCAUUUCUCAUUAAUGGAAAGAGGUGCGGUGAUGUAGAUUGUAUCCAGAGAUGCUAGUUUGGUCAAAAGUAAUCUGCUCUGAUUAAAAUAGAAAUGAAGUAGCUGAAUUGUAACAGCUGCUGAGCUGCUGCUGCUCGGAGACAAAUGGGGGGAGGGGAGCAGCUGGUGACGGUGUCUGGGAGCCAUAUCCAAGAAGACGUUCAGUAGAGUACUCUUCUUGCCCCGAGUCAAGCUAUUCACUAGUCAAAUGAAUAUUGCUAGUUAAGCUCAGCAGAUGUCUUGGAGUUUCCACAUGUCCUCUGCAAUCCUUUUCAAUGUGUCCCUACACAAAUGAGCAC
rnacentral:lncRNA from 1 species